AAUGUAAUAUUCGUUUGUGGGAUUAACAGAACUCAAAAACCACUGGGGGAAUUGACACCAAAUUUGGACACAAGACACUUAACAACCCAAUGUAUGUCCUUCACUCAUAAAAACACAGAAAAACAUAGCAGAAGGGACUUAAAAAGCCAGAACAAAACACCCAAAAAUUACAACGCAUGUGCAAAACCACAUAUAGAUACACAAACACACAUAUAUGCAUAUACACACACAAAACACAUACACAGAAAGGGGGAAGGAAGGAGGGAAAGAAAGAAAGGUAGAGAAAGAAGGAAGGAGAGAAAGAGGGAAAUAAAGAGGGAAGGAGAGAAAGAAGGAAAGAAAGGAAGAUAGAGAAGGAAGGAGAGAAAGAGGGAAAGGAGGGAAGGAAAGAAAGAAGGAUAGAGAAGAAAGGAGGGAGAGAAAGAGGGAAAGAAGGAGGGAAGGAAAGAAAGAAAGCAGGGUAGAGAAGGAAGGAAGGGGAGAGGAGGGAAAGAAGGAGAGAAGGAAAGAAAGGAAGAUAGAGAAGGAAGGAAAGAGAGGAGGA